UUCGUUUAAGAGGCCGAACGCAGAUUGAAGGGGGCGUUUUAACUGAUGGUAAAACUGGGCAGUGAUAUGAGAUGUACGGUGGAUUCGUUUAAGAGGUAUGAAACUUGGUCUGAAGCGAAUAUAUGAUCAAGUCUGCUCCUUAUUAUUUUGCAAGGCCCCGUCUUUCAAUAAAAAGUCAUUUUUUAGGGAGGUCAUUGCAUAUGAGACCUGAAUCUUCCCUCCAAAAAUAAUUAUUAUUUUCCGUCCAAUGGGCCAACGCUUUUGGUCAUUUUUGAGUACCAAUUUUUAGUAUCACGGUUGUGGGCGUUUACUACGAUCAAUUUACGACCUAUUAGACUUUGAAUGAGAAAGACAUUAGUCUAUGGGACAAUAUGGAUGAUCUUGUUUUAUCCUGCACUAUUGAAUGGACCAGCGUUAUAAUGUCUGGUAAAAUUAAUGCAUUGAUGUAAUACAAUAGACUGGAGGCCCUACUAGAAGAGGAAAUUGAGCUACAUUACAAGAUGCAAGACUUGCCAUAAUGAUUGUGGAGGUUUUAAUUUUGCGAAAAGC
rnacentral:lncRNA from 1 species